UGAAUGAUGUUGAGAGAAAAAAGAAGCCUUGUUUUCAUCUGAGAUGCUGAUGGUGCUGCAUGCAUUUAAUGUUUGAAUUGAGUUAACCUAUCACCCAGGGUUAUUGAAAAUGUUAGCAAUGCAAUCUGACUUUUAGAUUAUCCAACUGAUUUCUGACAAAAGGAUUUAUCAAUCCACCCUUAGGUUUCGAUGGUCAGUGGACAUACCAUACCCAUGGAGUAUCAUCAACCAAGUAUACAGAGAGUCCCAAGGAGACCUGCCUAAGGGACUUUUGAGUUCCUGCUUACAACGACACCAUCUUGGCCCCUGCUCACAAUGACACCAUCUUGGCCUCUGCUCACAAUGACGCCAUCUUGGCCUCUGCUGAUAACGACGCCAUCUUGGCCACUGCUUACAACGACGUUGUCUUGGCUCCUGCUUACAACGACACCAUCUUGGCCUCAGGAAAUCUUGCCGCAGACGGGACGAGAGAGGCUGUCCUCUUCCUGUAUUGUCCAGUCCUGGGGCGAGCAAGCCCCACCUUGGCUCUGUGCCAAGAAUGCUGGAGCUGCUGGGUGUUGCGAUGGGUGAUUUCCUGUCAGAGGGGUCUUCUCAUAGUCGUAACAUGACCCCCCCACAGUCCAAAAACAACCGCUGUCACCGCAGGAGCUGAUGCUGUGAAGCCAGAGGGGCACUAACAUAGCUUGCUUCCUUCGUGAGAGGAUGCUCUCGGCACUGAUAGUGACUUUACGUAGGCUACCCAUUCAGUGUCUCACCACUGCUGCUGCUGGGUGCCACUCUGAGCAUCUGGUAGAGCCGCUGGUGCCUACAGUAUUAGCUAAAAGCUGUGCAAUGUCUGAAUGGGUGCUGAAACCCACUGCGUGUUUGUGAUUCUUGUCAUUGUUGAUCACAAACACAAUCAAUUGAUGACACUGGAGAGCACUGCUCUGGCAUUUGAGCCAUUUUCAUGUUGCUUCUCUGGCCAAGAUAUUGGACACAUAAUUGAUGCCUAUUUGGAUAAUUCCGUUAGAUCUCGUUCCUCACUCAAUGAGAAGAAAAUGUACAAACUAAUGAAAUAUUUACUGUGUUAUCCUCUUCAUAUUUUGUUCAGUGUGAUUCUCUGAAGAACCGUCUUGCUGUUUGUUUUUGUUAGGAUGGGAGAUUGGACUCUGUGGUUUCACAGUUUCUCUGUACUUUGACCUCAACUCAGCAGCUAUAUCAAGACAGAAUUAUAUUCAAUCAACACUUUCAUCAAUGUGCUAUGACUUGAGUGAGGGCGAGAGUCAGCCCUUGGAUUUGAUCACAAGCGCUUGCAGGGGACUGGGGCCUGUGGAUGCUGUAUCAGAACGAUAAGCAAGGGAUCUGGGGAAGGUAGCACGCUUUGAAAAAUCUGACCUCAAUUAUAUCCACGGACCUUCCUUCUUGAUAUGGGGAGAGAGGCGUAUUUAUGAAGGUUUGUCUUCAGGGAGUUGAUUCGCUCCAGAUAGAGGACAUUUCACAGCCAUUACAGGGUCAUUUGGGUGUCACUUGGCCAGUGUUAUUCCGACCACUCCAAAACCACAUUCAAAAUAGCAUGGAGGUGGAUAUGCAAAACUAAUAGACGUUGCCCCCUCUAGAGGUUCACUUCUGAGGGAAAGGAGAGAAAGAAAGAAAACAAGUGGUGAAGUGGUGGCUCAGAAUGAGAAAGGUCAAUAAUGAAAUAAAUCUGCCCACAGCUUUUGUGUAAUGAACGCAGAUCUGAUUUAUUUUCCGCAUGGCUCUGUAGUUCUGUCUUGGUGCAGAACAGUGCAGGCUCUGUUCAGUGCCACACUCAGAGGCCAGGUGUGGGACAGCGCGGCUGAAACAGUUAAAAGUAAAUGGAGACCGGUGGAAAUGGAUCCCCCUCUAAAUAACGUGGCCUAGGUUUUUUUAAAGGUUUACCAGGGGAACAGAGCUGGUAAUUUCUGUCUGGUCAGAGCACAGCCGCAGCAUCUACAAUGGUUCGGUUCAGUCGUUGAACUUUUUGCCCAAACAAAGUUAUAUUUAUCCUCAUUAUAUAAUAGACAUGGCAGAAAUACAAAAAUGCAUUUGUUUUCAUAUUAUAACUUCACUUUUAGUGUAUAAAACACUAGCCUGGACUGAAAUAUGUGGAAUUUGUUUCAAAUAUAAUAUUUUAUGACCUUUAAAAUAUAUGAUAGAUAAAAGCUAUUAUAUUAUAGAUAUCUAUAAUAUUCUAAUCUAUUAUAGAUAAAAUAAUUAGCAAGAAGAAAACACUGACUGUUUCUGACACGGUCAAACAACAUCAACUCUAAAUCAGGCCAUGGCAAUCCUGAUAUGAGGCUAGAGUAAAAAUAACUAAAAACAAUCAAUGAGGGAGAAAUAUCAUGGACACAUCUACUGAGAUUAUCAAGGAAUGUAAACAUGAUAAGCUCAAGUGCAUGAACUCUUGCCUGGACCUUUUGGCCCAAUGCAACCUCUGUUUACAGACCUAAAUAGGAGAGUACACUAGAUGGGGGUUGCCAGUUAGAACGGCCAGUUCCCUGGACCUUAUAAUGAGCUGCCUUCCUCUCUUACCCCCUGGACCUGGCAACACAGCAUCCAUCUUGGUUGUCUGCCACUGAGGGGAGUGAGAGAUAGGGAGGCCAACACUGCAACAUUGGAACACUGAGGAGAUCCGGUCAGUCUCAUAACGACCCACAUUCCAGACUAUUGGAGCUGUUGAUGAUCACCAAAGAUCAUCCAACUGCUUUUAUAUGAUUUAUACUGGGAAGAUAACUGAUUUUAUAUUAUUUAUACUGGGAAGAUAACUGCUUUUAUAUGAUUUAUACUGGGAAGAUAACUGCUUUUAUAUGAUUUAUACUGGGAAGAUAACUGCUUUUAUAUGAUUUAUACUGGGAAGAUAACUGCUUUUAUAUGAUUUAUACUGGGAAGAUAACUGCUUUUAUAUGAUUUAUACUGGGAAGAUAACUGCUUUUAUAUGAUUUAUACUGGGAAGAUAACUGCUUUUAUAUGAUUUAUACUGGGAAGAUAACUGCUUUUAUAUGAUUUAUACUGGGAAGAUAACUGCUUGUAUAUGAUUUAUACUGGGAAGAUAACUGCUUUUAUAUGAUUUAUACUGGGAAGAUAACUGCUUUUAUAUGAUUUAUACUGGGAAGAUAACUGCUUUUAUAUGAUUUAUACUGGGAAGAUAACUGCUUUUAUAUGAUUUAUACUGGGAAGAUAACUGCUUUUAUAUGAUUUAUACUGGGAAGAUAACUGCUUUUAUAUGAUUUAUACUGGGAAGAUAACUGCUUUUAUAUGAUUUAUACUGGGAAGAUAACUGCUUUUAUAUGAUUUAUACUGGGAAGAUAACUGCUUUUAUAUGAUUUAUACUGGGAAGAUAACUGCUUUUAUGUGAUUUAUACUGGGAAGAUAACUGCUUUUAUAUGAUUUAUACUGGGAAGAUAACUGCUUGUAUAUGAUUUAUACUGGGAAGAUAACUGCUUUUAUAUGAUUUAUACUGGGAAGAUAGCCAUGAAAUAAAGGCAAAUGUUAAGUCCCACGAUGAAGUAUAAAAUAGUCAGGAACCUGGUAGUGUUUCUACCUAUGGUUAUAACACUGUUGUAAAGGAUUGAACUGUAUGAAGAUUAUUACACUUUCUGAACGGCAACUAAAUCUAACCUAAGUGGAGCUCAGGCAUAGACCUUGGAGAUGUGUAACCUGCGUCGAUGUGUAACCUGCGUCACCACAGAAGGCCAGUGCAGUGGGAUAAAGACAGGGAAAUAAAAGCAGAAACCUGUGAGUGGCCCUGUCUUUACUACCUGUCAUAGAUGGUGUCACCUUUCACAGUCUGUGUCUUUGGGGUGAUGUAAACUCUGCAGGUGGCUCUGUGGGCACAUAAAGCAUGUGAGCUGAGAGCUUGUCUCUUCAACGUGGAAAAGGCCUGGUGAUAAAGUGGCCUUGAGGACCUGCACAACAAUCUGAAAUGAGUUAUAGAGAAAAUAACGUCUCAUUCAACCCAUCUUCAGCACUGUACUCUCCUUGUCAACAACAGGGAACAAUUGCACAAUACUGGAAUGCCUAGAGCUACAAGCCUUUUUAUAUCUCAAAUUAUGCUUUGUUCCAAAGUGACAAAUUAACUCUUUUGGUGAAUUGAGUGCAACCCCGAAAGUGCUGGCAGACGCUCAAAAAUGUUGAAAGAUGUAGCAGUUUGUCUUUUGCUUGGGGAUACGUUCUAAAGCUGACAGAAUCAAACAGAGACAAAAUGGGACAAACUAGGAAGAGUGUGAUCUACUUAAAAUCAUGACUGCAUGUCCUCAGUGUGUGGCUGUCUGACUGGCUGGAGAUCCAUUUAAACCACGUCACCCUCUCAACCACGUCACCCUCUCAGCAGCUUAUUGCUGCCCCCUAUCAAACAAUGUGCCUCCCUGCAGGCCUUGGUCCAUUUAAUGGGUUAGACACACUUAUCAGGCUUUUAAAUAAUCAAAGUAAAUAAAACUUAGAAAUCAGGUUGAACUGUUUUGCCUUGUGUUGGAGUACCAGCCCAGAAUACUCAAUCAUGACAUUAGUUCUCGAUUCUUUGGGACCAGCCAAGCCUGUUUCCACAGUCAUUCAUCCAACUGCCAACGCAGCAUUUGUGCGACCCAAUGUGUCUUUCAUUUGGGUCCACUCUGCUCAAACACACGUCAGCCAAAAUAUGAGGCCCGCUGCUCCAACAGAAACAGACUGUGUUCUAGCCAUCAGGUGUGCUGUGUACCUCACUGGCUCUUGUCUCAGUGACCCUAAACUAAGUCGGACAGGACCACGUUCUGAACUCUUAACACCACUCCUGCCAUGGCCUCAUGGUCACACAGUAUCCAGUUCAAGAGUUGGACCAGUUUGUUGAAGAAAGAGUCACAAUUAACUGAAUUUUAACUAGCAGCCAGGCUACUCCCUAUCCCUCCUAUCCAUCAGUUUAUAUUGAUCCCGAUGUUUGUCUUUAUCCAUUGUUUCCAGUGAAGACAGACCCUACUAACCCACGUACAACAGAGGGUAAGUAGUGUGUGAGGAAGCCAGCAGAAAGGCUACUGACCUGUCUGUUGUCCUAUAGGGAGUAGUGACUGGGUGAGUACGUACAUGCUACACUACAGCAGUCUGAGCCACAAGCAGACCGACUGAUAAUGGAGCAGGGAGUGGCAGCCUCAACCCAGGGCUUGUGGGUGUAGCGUGACUCUCUCUCUGACAGACCCAGAUGCUGUGAGUAUCCAGUGGAAAUCUCCCUGGCGAGACUCAGCAGACAGUCUGUAGAUAUUAGCCCCCAGUUUACCAUGGUGGGGGUGGGGGGGACACAUCAAGGGAAGUGCAAAUCAGGCUAGGGUAGCAUUAUUAGGGCUCCCGAGUGGCACAGCGGUCUAAGGCACUGCAUCUCAGUGAAAGAGGCGUCACUACAGUCCCUGGUUUGAAUCCAGGCUGUACCAUAUCCGACCGUGAU